rnacentral:lncRNA from 1 species
GUUCUGAUUAUUAUUAUUAUUAUAUUUAUUAUUAUUAUUAUUAUUUUUUUCUUCCGCCAAAUUUUGUUCUUGCGCAAAAUGUUUGUUUCGCAAUAUGUCGCUUAGAUAUUUCUCAUAUGGUAUCGUAUAGUUUAUGCGCUUUUAAAUUUCACCCUGCUAAGGCGAACCAUUUUCUAUGUAAGAGUUAUCUCCCUUUUCACUGUUUACACUCUGUGUGCAUCUCCUUCGUAACAAAACAAGAUAGCGACAAAAUUCUUUUUACAAAUUGUUCGUUACAUCCUCAGUAAUUUUUGGCGUAUUUGGAUCGAAGCGAUUCGAUGAAAUUUUAUAGGAGUUAUCUACCUUUACAAAAUAAAUUUGCCGGUAUGUGUAUUUAACUCAUAAACAGUUAACCGUAUAACCCUGGAAUGUUUUUAUUUGAGUCCCAUAGGUCCUAACUUAGAAAAUGAGGUCAAGGUCAAAGGUCAAGGUCAAGUUCUCAAUUGUGACUUUUGCUUGUUUUUGCAUUUUUUCUGACACUUUGAAAGAUAUAUAUUAAAGAACAAGUGCAAAAUGUCAGCUUUAUUGUAAUGAAGAUAUGCUACAUUUAGUCUUAUACAAUUAAAUGGCAUCUUAUAGGAGUUGUUGCCCCUACAUAUGUCUUGAUAUGAGGUUAUUUGAUUAUAACUUCAAUAAGGUUCAUUAUAAAGAC